AUUUAUAUACAUUGAUGAGAUGCCCCCGAGCUCCCUCUUCUCCAGGCUGAACAGUCCCGGCCCUCUCCUCACAAGGAGAGGUGCUCCACUUCCUUCUCCUUGGUGAUCCUUUGUUGGAUGCUCUCAAGAAUGUCCGUCUCAUACUGGGGAUAGCAAUCUUGCGAUAGUCAGCCUUCAGAAAUAUGGGACAGCUCCGAGUUCCCAUCUGACGUUAAAAAUUUAAUCGUGUGCAAAAAAAAAAAAUCUAUCAGUGGAUCACGUGGAAGAGAUGGAUUGGUGCUGGUUGCUUCUGCUGUGUUUAAAGCUGCCCCUGCACACAGCUGUGUAUCUGGGGAGCUGGAGCAUCGUUUUGAUGCCUGCUAAUACCUCCCAUAACUGCUAAUGGGCCUCUGGGUGGAAGCAGCCA